AAAAGAAAAACAAUUCCUACGCAUGUGUCCUUCAAGCACCAUAGGGGAAGAAUAACACACAGCCACCUUUGUUCCCCUUCAUGGCCGUAGACACCUAGAGGAGAAGCAAAGAAUUUCGUGUUCUAUUCUUCCACCUGUUUCCAAAGUUGUGAGUCUCCCAAAGGCAAGCACCAUAACUCGUGAAGCAUACCUUCUUUCCCUUUGCACAGCCACCCAUCCAACCGAAGGCUUGCAUCAAUUCCCCUCUAUUUAUGCCCACUGUUGUCAACAACAAGUCUGAGUCUUUUCUGUACAUUUAGAACAGAAAACCGAGCCUAUGAAUUCCUCACAAAACUGUGACGCUCUCUUGAGAAGGACCAACAUGCCAUCUUUCAUCUCCUUUCACUCGUUGGUCGGCUGAAUGCAGCAGCCAAGGGGACUGCACACUAGCCUCACAUCCAUACUCAUUCUCUUGUUCGGCCAAAGGCCCUCCUUUAAGAAGCUUCUUCCCUUUUCAUGUUAUCCCAAACGCGAAUCAUGGAGCCUAGGAAGAGCAUGGGCUGCUUCUCGGUCAAUUGUGGUCUUGGGCGUCGAUACAAGGAAAAAGAGGACGGAAGAGCAUUGGAAGACAUAAUUAUAUGGAUAUUUGCUGUUAUGUGCUGCUAGAUGGACUAUUGUUGUUGCUGUUUAUUUGAUGGAUGACUGUAUUAAAUUGAGUAGGUUGGAUUACUGUUGAAUUAUGAUUUUAUUACUAUUUUUAAGACUUUUGUGAUCAGCAAGUAUUUUGAAAACAAAUUCCUGAAACGUUUUGCGAA